UUAGAUGUAACAGAGGAGUUCUAUGACCAUAAAAGAGACAAGACUGCAGACCAAGUUAUGCAGUGGACCCUGAGUAUCACACAGUACCUGAAAUCACAGACCAAAGCUGCAAAAAGACCCAAAGUCAUAAAAAGACCUGAAGUUGAAGUCCUGAAGCCUCGAAAUGACCCAAAGUAAGGAAAGGAGUCUAAGCAGGAAUCCCCCACCCAAAAAGGAUGUCUCGUAACCUGGAGAGAGUGGUAACCAAAAAACAAACAGUGCAAAGAAUUCACGCGGAAUUUCACCUGACGAACGGGGAACGCCCUCCGAAACGUUGUUUGAUGCAAUAAACACACCAGGGGUAGGACCCCGGUUUAAAUCGC